rnacentral:misc_RNA from 1 species
GUCGUGAUUAUUCUCCCAGGCACUCUCCUCCCUAUGGUGGAAGGUCAAGGAGGGAAAGGUCCAGAUCACCCUAUUCUCCUUAUCGUGGCUAUAGGUGAGGCCAUAUGGUCUAUUAUUCUAUAUAGGGAAAUCAGGGAGGUGUGUUGUUAGUAUGCUUUAGGGCUUGAGCAGAUGAUUUUGUUGUUUGUAAGCCUGAAAUGACUAAUUGUUUGCGUUUCUUAAGGAUAUGUGGACUGUAGUUGUGUUUGAGUGUUGCAUUUCUCAAGGAUACGUGGACAUAAUUUUGAGGUUUUUU